GUCUAUUUGAAGAUAUAAAAAGUCUAGCCUGCCCACUGAUAAAAAAUUUUUAAGGGCCGCGGUAUUUCUGACUGUGCAAAGGUAGCAUAAUCGUUAGUUUUUUAAUUGGAAUCUUGUAUGAAUGGUUUGACAAGAAAAAAUCUGUCUUUAUAAUUAUAAAUUGAAUUUAACUUUUAAGUGAAAAGGCUUAAAUAAAUUAAAAAGACGAUAAGACCCUAUAAAACUUAAUAUAAGUUAAUUGUUUAGUAGAAUUUUUAAUAAUAAAUAUUUAAUAAUUAGUUUUUAUUUUAUUGGGGUGAUAAUGGUAAAAUGAUUAUUAACUGUUGAUUAUUUUAUAACAAAAAUUAUUGAAUAAAUAUAUAAUAAAUGAUCCUUGUUAAAGAUUAAAAGUUUAAGUUACUUUAGGGAUAACAGCGUUAUUUUUUUUGAGAGUUCUUAUCGAGAAAAAAGUUUGCGACCUCGAUGUUGAAUUAAAAUAUCUAUAUAAUUGUAGCAGUUGUAUGAGAAGGUCUGUUCGACCUUUAAAUUUUU
rnacentral:rRNA from 1 species